GAAAUGCGAUAAGUAAUGUGAAUUGCAGAAUUCAGUGAAUCAUCGAAUCUUUGAACGCACAUUGCGCCCGCCAGUAUUCUGGCGGGCAUGCCUGUUCGAGCGUCAUUUCAACCAUCAAGCCCCCGGCUUGUGUUGGGGACCUGCGGCUGCCCGCAGGCCCUGAAAACCAGUGGCGGGCUCGCUGUCACACCGGGCGUAGUAGCAUACAUCUCGCUCAGGGCGUGCUGCGGGUUCCGGCCGUUAAAAGCCUUUUUUACCCAAGGUUGACUCGGAUCAGGUAGGAAGACCCGCUGAACUUAAGC
rnacentral:misc_RNA from 1 species